UAUUCUAGAAAUUUAAUUAACAUAUUUUAUAAAGACCAAACGUACCCAAUGCUACACCCGUACAAUUAACAUAGGUACAAUUAAAUUUGAACCAAUUUAUUCAGGUUAAUUGUUUUCUUUAACUUUAACACAUUAAUCUAUAUGUAUAAAUCUACGUAGUCACCGUCAUCAUCCAUGCAUUUAUAAUGAGUCUUAGCCACGAAUAAAAUUUACUGAUUCGUCAACAAGCGUCAUGUGACAAUUUAUCUACGCGAACGCGCGCAACCGUUGACCGAUUGCCACUUUGCGCCUGUUUUUCGUUGAAUGAUGUAGGCUAUGUGACGUCCAUUUUAUGAAUUCAACUUCUGCUGAUACUUUUAGGCUAGAAACCCUAACUUUUAAUCUGAUCGUAUACAAUUUUAUGAAACUAUGGAAGUUACCAAUGACAUGAGGGAAUAAAGUUCAACAGCAUUUAGGCAAGUCCACCGUUCUUCUGUAAAGGCACCCUGUAUGUAUAAUUAAAUACGAAACUUAAGCAAGUUUGUAAUGAAGAAGAUGUAGUUGCCAGAAGAGAUGACAACGAUGAGGACGACAGCAAUAUUAUGUGAAUGCGUUUGAUUUGUAGCACAUCCUCUUUAUUGGUUCUGAUACAACAUUCUACUUUGCCAAUGGUUCCAUUGUGACAGAACAGCUAUGAAUUUCCUCUGUCAAGGCUUGAUUCAGAGAGAGUGCAGCCAUCUGCUUUUCUCAAUAUCCAAGAUUUUUAAGUGUGCACUAUGGAGUUUUGUACACUAGGCCCCUUGUUUAUUUUUGAUAUUUCUUUGACAUUU